rnacentral:tRNA from 1 species
UCCCUGGUGGUCCAGUAGCUAUGACUCUGAGCUUCUAAUGCAGAGGGCCUGGGUUCAAUCCUUGGUCAGGGAA